rnacentral:lncRNA from 1 species
AGGACGCCACUGCCCUGUCGCCCCGCCUGUGCAGCCCAGGACCUAGGCGCGGUAGCUGGGGCUGGCUUUUGAGGGGCGCGGGCAGCCUUCUGACUGGGUCGGAGGCCUGCGGGCCCGAAGCCUCUGUCCCUCCUGUUCUUGUCCGGCGCUGCUUAGCCCCUCCGCGUAGUCAUCAUGGAUCUGAUUUUAAACCGAAUGGAUUAUCUGCAGGUGGGAGUAACAUCUCAGAAGACUAUGAAGCUAAUUCCUGCCUCAAGACACAGAGCUACACAAAAGGUGGUUAUUGGAGAUCAUGAUGGGGUAGUUAUGUGCUUUGGCAUGAAGAAAGGAGAAGCAGCAGCAGUGUUCAAGACUUUACCCGGGCCGAAGAUUGCAAGGCUGGAACUGGGAGGGGUUAUCAACACACCUCAGGAGAAAAUUUUUAUUGCUGCAGCAUCUGAGAUUAGAGGCUUCACAAAAAGAGGAAAACAGUUCCUCUCCUUUGAAACAAACCUCACUGAAAGCAUUAAAGCUAUGUAUGUCUUUUGUUCUCUUUUGUAUUUUUACAUACUUAUUUAUAAUAUUUUGGAUAGAUGUGAGGCAACUAAGUAUCAUAUCUUAAUAGGCUUUCUGGAAAAUAAAAUUAACUAAAGGUAUUUUAUUAGUCAGAAACUAAAUUUGACCUACAAUCAAUAUUAAAUUGGUUGUUGAAAUUUUUUUAAAGAACUUUAUAGUAUUUAUACAAU